GCAUUAUUGAGGAGUCCCACAAUAGGACGAAACGGCCGUCCAGUGC
rnacentral:hammerhead_ribozyme from 1 species